rnacentral:misc_RNA from 1 species
GCAAACUUGGUCAUUUAGAGGAAGUAAAAGUCGUAACAAGGUUUCCGUAGGUGAACCUGCGGAAGGAUCAUUACUGAAGGCCCCUAACCGGGUUUUUCCGUAUGGUCGCUCUCUGGCUGUGCGCCGCGAGGCUUGCACGCUCGAGUCGACCAUCCAUCGACACCUGUGCACUCUGCGGGUCACGUUUGUGGCCCUGCUUUUUUCAUUGUCUACUAUGUUUUGGAUGUCAUACUUUCGUAAUUGAAAAAUACAACUUUCAGCAACGGAUCUCUUGGCUCUCGCAUCGAUGAAGAACGCAGC